ACUGCGGAGGACAUUACCGAGUGAGGGUCCCUCGGGGCCCAACCUCCCAUCCGUGUUGUCCUGACACCUGUUGCUUCGGCGGGCCCGCCGUGGUUCACGCCCCGGCCGCCGGGGGGUUCACGCCCCCGGGCCCGCGCCCGCCGAAGACCCCUGGAACGCUGCCUGGAAGGUUGCCGUCUGAGUAUACAAUCAAUCAAUUAAAACUUUCAACAACGGAUCUCUUGGUUCCGGCAUCGAUGAAGAACGCAGCGAAAUGCGAUAAGUAAUGUGAAUUGCAGAAUUCCGUGAAUCAUCGAAUCUUUGAACGCACAUUGCGCCCCCUGGCAUUCCGGGGGGCAUGCCUGUCCGAGCGUCAUUGCUAACCCUCCAGCCCGGCUGGUGUGUUGGGCCGCCGUCCCCCCUCCCCGGGGGACGGGCCCGAAAGGCAGCGGCGGCGUCGCGUCCGGUCCUCGAGCGUAUGGGGCUCUGUCACACGCUUCAGUAGAACCGGCCGGCUUGCUGGCCAUCACCUAUAUUUUUCUCUUAGGUUGACCUCGGAUCAGGUAGGGAUACCCGCUGAACUUAAGCAUAU
rnacentral:rRNA from 1 species